CGAAAUUAUCGACCAAGCUUACGCUUUAUUGAAUAAAGCGUCUGCACAAGCAGACUUACCAAGCGCUGGUCUAAGGCAUGGCCUAAUCCGCUGCAGAUCAUUGCACUGAUGGAGAAGCCCCGUGCAGACCGACUUUCAUCGCCAUUUCGUCCAUGUUCUGGCUCGCGUCCAAGAUCUUUGAUUUGUUCCUGACAUCACCGUCCUCGAUGCCACCGCUGACGCUGUCGUGGGCGAAAGGCAGCAGGCGGGUUACGUCAUAGCAUGGAAGCAGUAUGAUAGGGGCGGUUUUGCGGUAGACCCAAAGGACCGAGCGGCCAAGCAUAGGCAACAGAGGCAGUGGCGGUGGCGGCGGCGGCAGCAGUGGCCUGCUUCUGUCUCCUUUUGCCGCCAUGAAUUCUUCCACGGCACUUCUUGCCGCGCGGCCGACGGAAGUCUGUCGAUGUUGCUCAAGGCUCAGUGCCCACUUGUCAGGUCUCCGCUCAAGAACUAUGCCUACCGUUACCUACUAUAGUAAUACAUUAGUGGGCGCGACUGCUGGGGCGCCAACUCCAACAGCGGAUACUGGUGAAGCAUUAUGCACAGCGCGGCCUGACUCUGCGGGGUAAACUAAAUGUCAGAUGCAUUAUUCCUCAAUACUGGCAAGCACCUUUUAGCUAUUGAGGCUAACGUCUAUUACUGCAAAGAUGAAUCGGUUAAUCGGGUCCGUUAACUCGAACGCGGGAGAUACUCGUUGGUAUCUACCAGCGGAAGCAACCUUCAGUGCUGCCAUACGGCAGCCGUAUGUGAAAGUAGAACUGAAUGGCUUGUUACGGACACUUUGCCUAUGACAUCGUCCGACAAUUUUCGUUUCCCAGUUUUGACGUUCGAAAGGGCUUCAAAGGGUGCAUUGAUUGCAAUUUUCAGCUAUGGACGGUGGGAUUAGGAGCCACAGCGGCUACUGCUACCGCUGCAGUAGAAGCAGCCGCAACGGUCGGCGUUUGUAGUGGCAGAGUCUGCGAUCCGUGACAAUAAAAUCAGAACUGCCGAAGAACGAAGCUUAUACAAGCGAGGUUUUAGGAUUGGUGUGAACGGCGAGACAAUGUUUCCACUACGAAGUCCCGCAGUGUUCCGGGCUGAAUGUAGUCCUUCAUUCAGAAGCGAUAGAGCAUAGUUAGCAUUUUUUUCGUCCAGAACAAGAAAAAAAGGAGAAAGACAUGAUCGA